GGGCUCUUCCCGAGGGCCCCCCCUCAAUCCUGUUGUGUUCAGUCCAGAGGGUUGUGUGGAGGCUCUCCGGAGGGGCUC
rnacentral:pre_miRNA from 1 species